rnacentral:tRNA from 1 species
GCCUCUGUGGCACAGCUGGUUAGCGUGUUUGACUCUUAACUGAAAUGUUGGUGGUUCAAGCCCACCCAAGGACA